rnacentral:rRNA from 1 species
CGAGCGGAGGGCGCGGUCGAAAGAUCGUGGCCCCGCACACGGCUCAGUAACACGUAGUCAACCUACCCUUGGGACGGGAACAACCUCGGGAAACUGAGGCUAAUUCCCGAUAGGCGAGGGACGCUGGGAUGCUUCCUCGCCCAAAGCUCCGGCGCCCAGGGAUGGGACUGCGGUCUAUCAGGCUGUUGGUGGUGUAACGGACCACCAAACCUACGACGGGUACAGGCGAUGGGAGUCGGAGCCUGGAGAUGGGGACUGAGACAAGGCCCCAGGCCCUACGGGGCGCAGCAGGCGCGAAAACUCCGCAAUGCGCGUAAGCGUGACGGGGGGACCCCAAGUGCCGUUGGUCUUUUGAUCGACGGCUUUUCGGAAGUCUAUGAAGCUUCCAGAAUAAGGGCUGGGUAAGACUGGUGCCUGCCGCCGCGGUAACACCAGCAGCCCAAGUGGUGGCCACGAUUAUUGGGCCUAAAGCGCUCGUAGCCGGGUCAGCAAGUCCCUUGUGAAAUCGGGCCGCCUAACGGUUCGGCGUGCAAGGGAUACUGUUGGUCUUGAGGCCGGGAGAGGUCGGAGGUACUCCUGGGGUAGCGGUGAAAUGCUCUAAUCCUAGGGGGACCACCAGUGGCGAAGGCGUCCGACCAGAACGGACCUGACGGUGAGGGGCGAAGGCUAGGGGAGCGAACGGGAUUAGAUACCCCGGUAGUCCUAGCUGUAAAGCAUGCGGGCCAGGUGUCUAGCGCUCCUCGAGGGCGCUAGGUGCCGGAGGGAAGCCGUUAAGCCCGCCGCCUGGGAAGUACGGCCGCAAGGUUGAAACUUAAAGAAAUUGGCGGGGGAGCACCACAAGAGGUGGGACCUGCGGUUCAAUUGGAUUCAACGCCGGACAACUCACCAGGGGCGACAGUUGUUUGAGGGCCAGGUUGACGACCUUGCCAGACUAGCUGAGAGGUGGUGCAUGGCCAUCGUCAGCUCGUACCGUGAGGCGUCCUGUCAAGUCAGGCAACGAGCGAGAUCCUCGCCCUUAGUUGCCUCGGUGGAAAGCCGGGCACUCUAGGGGGACCGCUGGCGCUCAGUCAGAGGAAGGAGANGGCGACGGUAGGUCAGUAUGCCCCGAAUCCCCUGGGCUACACGCGGGUCACAAUGCGCAGGACAAUGAGAUGCAACCCCGUAAGGGAACCAAGCCCUAAACCUGCGCUCGGUUCGGAUCGAGGCUGUACUC